GAUGAACGCUAGCGGGAGGCCUAACACAUGCAAGCCGAGCGGUAGAGAUUCUUCGGAAUCUUGAGAGCGGCGCACGGGUGCGGAACACGUGUGCAACCUGCCUUUAUCUGGGGGAUAGCCUUUCGAAAGGAAGAUUAAUACCCCAUAAUAUAUUGAGUGGCAUCACUUGAUAUUGAAAACUCCGGUGGAUAGAGAUGGGCACCCGCAAGAUUAGAUAGUUGGUGAGGUAACGGCUCACCAAGUCAAUGUUCUUUAGGGGGCCUGAGAGGGUGAUCCACCACACUGGUACUGAGACACGGACCAGACUCCUACGGGAGGCAGCAGUGAGGAAUAUUGGACAAUGGGUGAGAGCCUGAUCCAGCCAUCCCGCGUGAAGGACGACUGCCCUAUGGGUUGUAAACUUCUUUUAUACUGGGAUAAACCUACCCUCGUGAGGGUAGCUGAAGGUACAGUAUGAAUAAGCACCGGCUAACUCCGUGCCAGCCGCCGCGGUAAUAC
rnacentral:rRNA from 1 species